rnacentral:rRNA from 1 species
CCUACGGGUGGCUGCAGUGAGGAAUAUUGGUCAAUGGCCGGAAGGCUGAACCAGCCAAGUCGCGUGAGGGACGACUGCCCUAUGGGUUGUAAACCUCUUUUAUAUGGGAAGAAUAAAUGCUACGUGUAGCAUGAUGCCUGUACCUUAUGAAUAAGCAUCGGCUAACUCCGUGCCAGCAGCCGCGGUAAUACGGAGGAUUCGAGCGUUCGCCGGAUUUAUUGGGUUUAAAGGGUGCGUUGGGGGUUGUUUAAGUUAGGGGUUAACCGUGGGGGCGUCACCUUGAUUUGCCAUUAAUACUGGAAGACUCGAGUUCAGACGAGGUAGGCGGAAUAAGUUAAGUAGCGGUGAAAUGCUUAGAUAUAACUUAGAACUCCGAUAGCGAAGGCAGCUUACCAGACUGCGACUGACGCUGAAGCACGAGAGCGUGGGUAGCGAACAGGAUUAGAUACCCCUGUAGUC